rnacentral:rRNA from 1 species
GUCCACGCCCUAAACGAUGAAUGCUAGUCGUCGGGAAGCUCGUCUUUUCGGUGACGCACUUAACAGAUUAAGCAUUCCGCCUGGGGAGUACGGUCGCAAGAUUAAAACUCAAAGAAAUUGACGGGGCCUGCACAAGCGGUGGAGUAUGUGGCUCAAUUCGAUGCAACGCGAAGAACCUUACCUGGCCUUGACAUGCAAGUAGUAGAAGGGUGAAAGCCCGACGAGGUAGCAAUACCAGCUUGCACAGGUGCUGCAUGGCUGUCGU